ACGGAGGGUCCAAGCGUUAUCCGGAUUUAUUGGGUUUAAAGGGUCCGCAGGCGGGAAAAUAAGUCAGUGGUGAAAGCCUACAGCUUAACUGUAGAACUGCCAUUGAAACUGUUUUUCUUGAGUAUAGAUGAAGUGGGCGGAAUGUGUCAUGUAGCGGUGAAAUGCAUAGAUAUGACACAGAACACCAAUUGCGAAGGCAGCUCACUAAACUAUUACUGACGCUGAGGGACGAAAGCGUGGGGAGCGAACAGG
rnacentral:rRNA from 1 species